GUCCUGUUCAUCAGCAGCGGAGACAGAAGGAGAUGCCGGGCUUCGCGAGCAAGUGGACUAAGGGACCUUGUUCCGGAUCUAGCGAACAUCACUCUGACACACCAGUGAAACCCUGGAUGCGGUAGGACCAGUUGGGUCUUUCAUUUAUUAAGGUGUAUUGGUACCGCCGUGAUUUUAUUAGUGAGGGGGCGCCAUGCUGAAUCCAUGCCCCGGGUGCUGUAAAGCCUAGCUACACCUCUGUUCCAACCCCCCCCAAAAAAAGGAUUUUUUGUGAAAAUGGGGGAAAAACAAUGAAAGGAUGUCCUUGCAGGAGCGGUUUCCUCAGCCAGUGCUGGGAGCAAACACAGCGGGAACUCCUUGUCCACCUCAUCUAUGGACCGGUCUGUCAGUGGCCAGCAGAACGUGGACUGGUUAUUCAGCUGCAUGGCCUGACUCGCUGUAUUCAUCUUCUACUAUCUUUGACGUGGGAGUCAUUUUACUAUUUAGGCGUCGUCUGAUGGAAAAGAAGCUGUCUAGCUCGGCAAUAGAUAUAAGUUAGAGAACCCUCAAGACCUCACUUCAUUCUUGAAGUUCUGAGCAGACCUUACCUGUGCACAGAUGUAUUGGUUGACCUCCAUUCUACACUUCAUAUUCAUAUCCAUUGCUCUGGGA